rnacentral:rRNA from 1 species
CUUUCCCUCUUUCUGCCUUCCUAACACAUGCAAGUCGAACGAGUGGCGGACGGGUGAGUAAUGUAUGGGAAACUGCCUGAUGGAGGGGGAUAACUACUGGAAACGGUAGCUAAUACCGCAUACCAUCAGAUGUGCCCAGAUGGGAUUAGCUUGUUGGUGGUUUACCGGCUCACCAAGGCGACGAUCCCUAGCGGGUCUGAGAGGAUGACCAGCCACACUGGAACUGAGACACGGUCCAGACUCCGACGGGAGGCAGCAGUGGGGAAUAUUGCACAAUGGGCGCAAGCCUGCUGCAGCCAUGCCGCGUGUAUGAAGAAGGCCUUCGGUUUGUAAAGUACUUUCAGCGGGGAGGCGUUACCCGCAGAAGAAGCACCGGCUAACUCCGUGCCAGGAGCCGAGGGAAUUC